UAUGGCAUAUAGCGUAUCUGAUUUGAUCAAUGUAUAUGCAAUUUUGUUUCAGGUUUUGAUUCAGGUUUUGAAUCAUCUAUGCCCAUUUGGAUCGGUUUAAAUGAUCUACAACAAGAAGGUUUUUACGCUGGACGGACGGGUCUGCACCUGAUUUCUCUAACUGGGAAUCAGGUCAGCCUGACAACUUAGCUGGAGAGCACUGCAUUGGGCCCAACUUUGGGGUUUUCGGCGCUUGGAAUGACUUUCCAUGUCACUAUGUGCACCCGUAUAUUUGUGUGAAGAAAGGUUCAGCAUCGUCAACAGCAGCUGCAACGACAUCAUUGACGAGUACUACGUUGGCAACCACAACAACGAGAACGGCUUCGACCGCAGAAUUACCUUUCACUACUAUGUUAACUGAAAAGGGUAGCUAUAUUGAACGCUCUAAACCAUUAUGCUUGUUCAAAAGAAUUUCAUGUAAAUGUUAAUAUGAGCAUUCAAGAUGACUAUAGGCUUCUUACAGUUAAGGUGAGCAGUUUGAUAUCGAACGUAUAUCGUGAUAUAUAUUUAGUACAACAAUAUUAAUGUCUUAUUUUUACCAUCGAAGUAACGUGUUUUGAAAGAAAUUCAUGAAAGAUGAAUUUGGA